AUUAAACGCUGGCGGCAUGCCUUACACAUGCAAGUCGAACGGCAGCACGGGGGCAACCCUGGUGGCGAGUGGCGAACGGGUGAGUAAAGCAUCGGAACGUGCCCUAGAGUGGGGGAUAACGUAGCGAAAGUUACGCUAAUACCGCAUAUUCUGUGAGCAGGAAAGCAGGGGAUCGCAAGACCUUGCGCUCUGGGAGCGGCCGAUGUCGGAUUAGCUAGUUGGUGGGGUAAAGGCCUACCAAGGCGACGAUCCGUAGCGGGUCUGAGAGGAUGAUCCGCCACACUGGAACUGAGACACGGUCCAGACUCCUACGGAGGCAGCAGUGGGGAAUUUUGGGACAAUGGGCGCAAGCCUGAUCCAGCCAUGCCGCGUGAGUGAAGAAGG
rnacentral:rRNA from 1 species